rnacentral:rRNA from 1 species
UACGUAGGGGGCAAGCGUUGUCCGGAUUUACUGGGCGUAAAGAGCGCGCAGGCGGUCGGAUAAGUCGGGUGUGAAAGCCCCUGGCUCAACCAGGGAGGGUCAUUCGAUACUGUUCGACUCGAAGGCAGGAGAGGGAAGUGGAAUUCCGGGUGUAGUGGUGAAAUGCGUAGAUAUCCGGAGGAACACCAGUGGCGAAGGCGACUUUCUGGCCUGUUCUUGACGCUGAGGCGCGAAAGCUAGGGGAGCAAACGGG